GACGAACGCUGGCGGCGUGCUUAACACAUGCAAGUCGAACGAAAAGCGAUGGAAGCUUGCUUCUAUCAUUCUUAGUGGCGAACGGGUGAGUAACGCGUAAUCAACCUGCCCUUCAGAGGGGGACAACAGCUGGAAAGGACUGCUAAUACCGCAUACGUUCUAAUCUCGGCAUCGAGGAUAGAUGAAAGUUUGCCUCUACAUGUAAGCUAUCACUGAAGGAGGGGAUUGCGUCUGAUCAGCUCGCUGGGGGGGUAAAGGCCCACCAAGGUGAUGGUCCGCAGGCGGGCCGAGAGGAGUAACGACCACAAUGGGACCUAGGCCACGCCCCAGAUUCUUACGGAAGCAGCAGGGGGGGAUUUUUCGAAAAGGAGGAAAGGCUGACGAAGCAACGCCGCGGGAGAGAUGACGGCCGUCGGGUUGGUAAGCUCCGUUAAUCGGGACGAAAGGCCUUCUUGCGAAUAGCGAGAAGGAUUGACGGUACCGGAAUAGAAAGCCACGGCUAACUACGUG
rnacentral:rRNA from 1 species